AUUGACAUAUUUAAAAAUAACAAAUUAAAAUUCUUAUUUGUCAUAAUAUGAUUGGUGGUUUAAAAUCCUACGUGGACGUCGUCAAAGGCUUAUAGCCUCAACUUUUAUAUAGUAUAGAUUAUGUUAUUACCAUGAUCGAUUAUAUUAUUAUUUUAAUUUUAUACAUUCAAAAGUGGAUUAUUUUCACGGUAGACUUUUGAAAUUUAUUUGAUAUAUUAUUUUUCAAGUAUAGAAAUUAUAAGUUUCCAAUCAAAUCUUAUUUAUAUACUAGUGGUUUGCCCGCGCGGAGCGGCUGUCCUUCGUUGUAAUUUGGGUUUUUUUUUUAUGUAGCAUAUCUUGAUUGGUGGAUGGUAUUUCGAAAGUUUUUGUUAUAUGUUAGAUGAUAAAGUAAUAUCUGGAUUCAUGGUGUUGCUAAUGGUUUUAUGGUUUAAGUAGUGUAGGUAGAUAGUAAGAAACCUGUGAAUUGUAUAAAAUCGUCCGGCAUUUGUAGUUUAAUAUUAGGAAGUAAUCUUAAUCUUUUUGUGUGUCAUGUAUUGUUUGUCUUUAUUGAUGUUAUUUUUUAUAUAAUAAAAUAAUCAUGUGAAAGGAAAAUAUUUCUUAAUGAGGAUAAAUUAUUAAUUAUUUUGUCUGAAAAUGAAAAACCAAAGUAGAAAAUACUACACAAAUAAAAUUGGAAAUUAAAACAUGAUAUUCCAUGUUAUUAAUAAUAUUGAGGGUUGAAUCAUAGAUUACUUUCCCUACAUAUUGAGCAGUUGUUGUUUGUACAAAGCCAUUGAUCAAUGCAUGUAAAAUGAAAAUUAUGACCGCAAGUAAGAGAGCAAAGUUUAUUUCCAUAGUUGUAAUUUCUGAAGAAUAUAGUGCAUAUGUCGUUUUCUUCUGUAGUUGGAGGCCUAAUUGUUUCCUCUAGAUCUGUGAUGAUAAGAUCGACGUCAAGUCUUGCAGUCGCAUUUUGGUUGUAGUCCUAGAUGGUAAGAGUAACUUGGAGAUCAUUAGUUAUAGUAUUGUGGCUGUUUUCUUCUUCUGUAGUUGGAGGGGCCUAUUUGUUUCCCCUAGAUCUGUGAUGAUAAGAUCGACGUCAAGUCUUGCAGCCGCAUUUUGGUUGUAGUCCUAGAUGGUAAGAGUAAUUUGGAGAGCAUUAGUUAUGGUAUUGUAGCUGUUUGGCAGUUUAUUCAUCACAUAUUCAGUAGUCUCUUGAAUAAGCAAGGUUGAGUCGGAGUGGUGAAUGUGAUGGUAUGUUAGCAUGAAUUCCAUGUACUCAAUUGUUGAGUAUUUUAAAUUACAUUGAUUAUCAAUGAUAGUUGGUAGCUGAAAAUCAAUGAUGGAUUAUUGUGUGUUGGGCUUGUGGAUGUAGACUUGUAGUGUUUGCUGUGGGGUUGUUCAUGUAGAUUCUCUUUGGUGUGAGAGCUGAUAAGAGAGAAGUGUCUGUUAUUCAUGGUGUAGUAUUUUGCGUGAUGAUAAGUUGUUAUAGCUAUGUCUUAUAGAAGGUGUGUUUAAGUUUUUUUUUCUUUAAUUCUUCAACCGUUUAGUUCAAAGGUCCAUUUAUUCAGGGGGCGUUAACAUUUUGAGUCAAUGGUUUGUGAUAAGUUUGAUGUUUUGUCUAUGUUGAGUUGUUACUUAUUUCGAAGACCAUGUAUAAUGAUGUGUAGUGUAUAAUGAUGUGUAGUGUGUAUUUGUACGAGAGCUGGAUAAUAUUAGUUAUUUUUUGUAUUUGCAUGAUUCUCGUAAGGAGGUUUUUCUUAGUAUAAUAGAUGUUCUUGUUUGGAAAUAUAUUUGUUUGUUUUUGCAGAAAGUGUGCCCGCAUCAGUUAUACCGAGAACUCACACACUUUUAUGUUUCAUGUAGUGCAGUUUUUAUAUAUGUAGUUUCUGUUUUGGUUUUUGUGAGAUAGAAUGAGGGUUUUUUUUCUAAAUUUGAUAAUGAAUAUAAACAUAAAGUAUGAGCCAAUAAAUAAACAUAAAAGCCCAACAAAUUAUCAUAAAACCCAGCUAAUCGGCAAGUUAGAAACACCAAAGAAAAAAAAAGAUCCGCGAGUUGGAAACGAAAGCAAAAAGAAAAACACGUCUCUCUGCUCGACACAUGUCGCAAAAUGGGGAUAGGAUGGAUGACGUGGCGCAUUGUGAAGCCUUUCUUUUCAACUUUAUUAGUAUAGAUAAGAGAAUUAGUUCUCUCCUCGUUACACCACGUCAGAUGCCAACUAGAAAAGUCAAGCUCUUUCGCGAUGACACAUGUCACCGAUUAAUGAAACUCAGCGUUUCAUUAAAUCCCAAGUCCGAUGAGCUUCGUUUCUAACAGGGUCUUAUAUCUUCAGAACUGGCCAGUUUUGAUAUUAGGGUUAACCAGUUUUCAUCUCCGCCGUUGUUCUUGAUUGAGUCACGCUGUUAACGUUCUUUUGUCUUCUUUCCAACUGUCCCAUGAGCUACCAGUUACAGAUCCAUCCUCUUAAAUCUUUCUUCCACGAUUUUCCUUGAAUGCGAGCUUUAGUCUUGCAAGGCGGUGGGAUCUAUUUAUAACUACUUUUGUUUUCAUCACAUUUUUAACGUUUAUGUCGUGUUGAAUCAUUAUUUUUCAGUUUUCCUGUUCAUAUCUCGUUUGACAUAUUUUAAAUAAGACUAAUUAAAGCCGUUUAUUGAUUGUUCUAUAAUUUUUUGGUUUUCUGAUUGUAACCGCUUGAGUUCAUAACUCUGAUUCAGACGGCGCGGAUGGACAAAUUAAAACCGCUUGAGUUCAUAACUCUGAUUCAGACAGCGGAUGGAGUAACCAAUAUAGUAUACAAGGAGAUCUUCAAGGGCCUCAGAGACACAUAGGUUAACAUAUUAAAUCGGUUUUGUUGGUAUGGUGCAAAGACAGCAGAGGCGACAAACAGACAAACGCAGGGCUUGGAGCAGCAGGGCAUGCUCUUAGAACGGAGUGGACAGUUUUAAGAUCAGACAAGCUCUCCCAAAUAGUGUGUUUAACUGAUGUCUAAGAUCGCAAUUAAAACGGCAGCCUAAUAAAAGAAAAAGGGGAAUAGAGCUUUUUCUAAUUAACUGAAAAAAUAGUUAUAAGUGGAUGUUGUGUUGUUUGUACAUCAGUUUCAUUGCCUUCGUGCAAAAGCAAUACCAACUAAAAAAAUUAGGGUUUUGUUUAUUGUUGUUGGGGUAUGUGUUUAGGCUUCUUUUAGAAUCAAUAGAUUUAUGCAAACAUAGAUACAACUUUUAAUAUUGGGUUAUGCUUGGUGAGUGAGAAUGAUCUUUUUUUUUUGUAUGUCAUGCUGCUGUGUUUAUAUAAUCUUUCCUUAAGUUGUGGUUAUUACAAGGAGAAUAGUUCGUUUAAUUUUUAUAAAUAAAGGUUUUUUCCAGAUCUUCAACUUAUACUCUGCAUAUAAUAAGUAGUCAAAUAACAAAUUUUAGUGAAGGUGACAGACUGCUCCACCAAUGGAAAACGCCGGCCACAAACUGCGAAAUACCAGCCAAAAAAAUUAACGAGUCAGAAAAAUUGGUUCUAUGUGACUUCUGUGAUGUUUUUUGUUUUGGAUUAAUAAAAUUUUAUUUUAGCAUUUCCGUAUUAGCAGCAUACAGGCUGCUACACAAUAUGACCAUUUACCAAAUGGUGGCUUCCCACGACAAAUGCGUGCCAAAAGGCCUCCCAAUAAAUAUUGUGAAAUCAGUCAUAAUCCAUCCAUUACACGGUCAUAGAUUGUAGGCAACCACUACUUCUACAUGAGACUAUAUCAUUCCAUUCUCUGAGUUUUUAUAUUGUAACCAAAGCUGAUAACUGGGGCCCCUCCAAUAAUUAGAGAAAACGGUAAUAGCCAUCACAGCAGAGAUCGAGAUGGGAGGCGAGUUAGGAAUAACAACUACAGAUGCGGUGGCUGAAAUUUUGGUGCGCCGUGAUCACUCGGUGGUUUGUGUCGAGGUGAGGAGACAAGAGGGAUGAGAAGGGAGACUGAGCCUGUGGUGGACGAGAAGACGACGCAAAGGAAGAUAAGAGGAGUCGCCAGAGAUAUGUUUAAGGUCUCCUUCACCAUGCAGGCUCCCCUUUCAACAGAUCUCGAAGUCGAUUACUGACAUCAUCACUAUCAUAAGUGCUCUGACAAUGUAAACCAAUAAGUUCCUUUGCCAAGUUGAAUUCUGUGAAGGCUUCUUAGAUGGUCUUAGACAAGGGCUUGCUGAAGUAGAUCACCACUAUGCAACCGAUGGACCUCUGAUUUUGUUGUCUUUCCAUAAACCAUUUCUGAAAACUACUGGUUAAUUGUUUAUCAACUAAAAUAUCCAAUUUUUUUCCAGAGAGAUUGAGUCUGUGUUAAGUCUUGGGAGAUGAUGGUUGAAGAAUAAGACUCCUCCGUAAAAUGAUAACUUUCAGCUAAUUCUAUGACUAUUUAUCAAUGAAUUUUUAUUUAAAUUA